AAAGGAAUAGACGGGGACCCGCACAAGCGGUGGAGCAUGUGGUUUAAUUCGAAGCAACGCGAAGAACCUUACCAGGUCUUGACAUCCUCUUGACCGGUCCUUAACCGGACCUUUCCUUCGGGACAAGAGAGACAGGUGGUGCAUGGUUGUCGUCAGCUCGUGUCGUGAGAUGUUGGGUUAAGUCCCGCAACGAGCGCAACCCUUAUCUUUAGUAGCCAGCAUUUCGGAUGGGCACUCUAGAGAGACUGCCCGGGAUAACCGGGAGGAAGGUGGGGAUGACGUCAAAUCAUCAUGCCCCUUAUGAUCUGGGCUACACACGUGCUACAAUGGCGUUCACAAAGAGAAGCAAUAUCGCGAGAUGGAGCAAACCUCAAAAAGGACGUCUCAGUUCGGAUUGUAGUCUGCAACUCGACUACAUGAAGCUGGAAUCGCUAGUAAUCGCGAAUCAGAAUGUCGCGGUGAAUACGUUCCCGGGUCUUGUACACACCGCCCGU
rnacentral:rRNA from 1 species